rnacentral:rRNA from 1 species
UAGGGAAUAUUGCAAAAUGGGCGAAAGCCCGAUGCAGCAACGCCGCGUGGGCGAUGAAGGCCUUCGGGUCGUAAAGCCCUUUUUGAGGGGAUGAGGAAGGACAGUACNCUCAGAAUAAGCCUCGGCUAACUACGUGCCAGCAGCCGCGGUAAAACGUAGGAGGCGAGCGUUAUCCGGAUUUACUGGGCGUAAAGCGCGUGCAGGCGGAUUGGAGAGUUGGAUGUGAAAGCUCCCGGCUUAACUGGGAGAGGUCGUUCAAUACUUCCAGUCUUGAGUGCAGUAGAGGGAAGUGGAAUUCCGGGUGUAGUGGUGAAAUGCGUAGAUAUCCGGAGGAACACCAGUGGCGAAAGCGGCUUCCUGGACUNNAACUGNNNNNNNNACGCGAAAGCUAGGGUAGCAAACG